rnacentral:rRNA from 1 species
UACGUAGGGGGCAAGCGUUGUCCGGAAUUAUUGGGCGUAAAGAGCGCGUAGGCGGUCCGAUAAGUCGGCUGUGAAAGUCAGGGGCUCAACCCUUGAAAGCCGGCCGAUAGUGUCGGACUAGAGUCCGGAAGAGGCAAGUGGAAUUCCCGGUGUAGCGGUGAAAUGCGCAGAUAUCGGGAGGAACACCAAUGGCGAAGGCAGCUUGCUGGGACGGUACUGACGCUGAGGCGCGAAAGCGUGGGGAGCAAACAGG